rnacentral:rRNA from 1 species
AGGGAAACCGAGUCUUAACUGGGCGUUAAGUUGCAGGGUAUAGACCCGAAACCCGGUGAUCUAGCCAUGGGCAGGUUGAAGGUUGGGUAACACUAACUGGAGGACCGAACCGACUAAUGUUGAAAAAUUAGCGGAUGACUUGUGGCUGGGGGUGAAAGGCCAAUCAAACCGGGAGAUAGCUGGUUCUCCCCGAAAGCUAUUUAGGUAGCGCCUCGUGAACUCAUCUUCGGGGGUAGAGCACUGUUUCGGCUAGGGGGUCAUCCCGACUUACCAACCCGAUGCAAACUGCGAAUACCGAAGAAUGUUAUCACGGGAGACACACGGCGGGUGCUAACGUCCGUCGUGAAGAGGGAAACAACCCAGACCGCCAGCUAAGGUCCCAAAGUCACAGUUAAGUGGGAAACGAUGUGGGAAGGCUCAGACAGCCAGGAUGUUGGCUUAGAAGCAGCCAUCAUUUAAAGAAAGCGUAAUAGCUCACUGGUCGAGUCGGCCUGCGCGGAAGAUGUAACGGGGCUAAACUGUGCACCGAAGCUGCGGCAGCGACGCUUAUGCGUUGUUGGGUAGGGGAGCGUUCUGUAAGCCUGCGAAGGUGUCCUGUGAGGGAUGCUGGAGGUAUCAGAAGUGCGAAUGCUGACAUAAGUAACGAUAAUGCGGGUGAAAAGCCCGCUCGCCGGAAGACCAAGGGUUCCUGUCCAACGUUAAUCGGGGCAGGGUGAGUCGACCCCUAAGGCGAGGCCGAAAGGCGUAGUCGAUGGGAAACGGGUUAAUAUUCCCGUACUUGGUGUUACUGCGAAGGGGGGACGGAGAAGGCUAUGUUGGCCGGGCGACGGUUGUCCCGGUUUAAGCGUGUAGGCUGGUUUUCCAGGCAAAUCCGGAAAAUC